GAUGUCAUGUGACCAACUGCCUCAAGCUCCUGUUGCCACGCCUAUCUAAGCCCCACCCCACAGUUGCCUGGCAAUAGCCAGCUCCAGUCAGGCGCUUUUGUCAGAGCCACAAGACCAGUGCGCUGGGCGUGUGGAACAGUGCUUUGAUCUGCCUCUGGAACUGAGAUGCUGGCAAGGCCGUGUUCACUCUCUUACCCUUCCAAUACCAGAUGUGAAAAGCUACAAGUGCUUUGCUGAAACCAGACCACGGGCUGCUCAGGAAGGGGAUCCUCCAGAGAAGAUGGAAGAAACUGAACACAGUGACUGACAAAUGCCUGGAACCGCAGCAUUUCAGAGAUGGAGGCAGAAGGACCUGGAGUCUACAGAGAUUCUUAACUACAUAAUGAUUUUGAGGCCAGCAUGGACUACGUGAGUCCGGCAUCUCAAAAGAAAAAAAAAAUGAAAUGAAAUGUUGGUUGGACAAGGUAACAACAGGAUAUCAAAGAGGAGUCCGGUGAAGAUCCAGUACUGAUGGUGUAGAGGAAGCCAGAGGCCUCGAACCAGCCCAGUGACUCAUCACAAUGAACAUUUGCAAGGAAAGCUGUCUGGGCAAAAGGCUAUGCUGUGGGACACACUGUGACACUCUGCAACUUUCAUGAACAAGAAGCAUAAAAGAACCCCACAGAGAAGAAGUCUGAAGGAAAGUGUAUCUGGACACAGUGUAGCCAAUCCCUG